AAAUGCGAUAAGUAGUGUGAAUUGCAGAAUUCAGUGAAUCAUCGAAUCUUUGAACGCACAUUGCGCCCCUUGGUAUUCCAUGGGGCAUGCCUGUUCGAGCGUCAUUUGUACCCUCAAGCUCUGCUUGGUGUUGGGUGUUUGUCCCGUCUCCGCGCGUGGACUCGCCCCAAAGUGAUUGGCAGCCGGCGUACUGGUCCCGGAGCGCAGCACAUGUCGCGCAAACGAGUGCCUUGGUACGGCGGCGUCCAUAAGCCCCUCUCUCCCGCUCUUGACCUCGGAUCAGGUAGGGAUACCCGCUGAACUUAAGC
rnacentral:misc_RNA from 1 species